rnacentral:lncRNA from 1 species
UCCUAUAUAAGGUUCUAUCUUGUCAAAUCUCAAAGUGGGACACUAUGCUAAAUAAAGAACAUCGAAAAAAAAUAAUGCCACGUACCAAACAAAGUCUAUUAAAAAAGAGAGCUUGUAUAAAAAUGCAACCAUCAUCUGCCAAGGUAAGGCUAUCACCACUAACUUCAAGUAAUUUUAAUAGUAAGUAUUCUAGUUUGGCAAACAAGGGAGUAUUACAACCUUCUAAAGGAAGAUCACACUACAGCCUUUUAAGUAACAAGUCAAUAUUAGAUUCAUUAUGCCAAUAAAUUUAACAAACGCAUUUUUCGAAGAAUGGAACCAUCUUAUCAUAGUCAAUUAAACAUAUGCAAAUGGUCAUUUUUGCUAAAUUCUAAACAUACCAACAAAUGGAACUUCAUACCAUAACAUGAAAAGAACGAUUGGCAGAAAGUUCAUGUAACAAAGGUUCUCACAAUUGAAAUCAGCUUCAAUAUUGUCUUCAUAGGAUAUACAUAAAUUACAAACUCAGCGCAAAGCAUUCAGAAUUUAGGCCAUCAAACACCAUGGUUAAUACUCCCAACGCAUACUAUUCAAGCAUUAGUGCAGACUACAAACCUUCAUAUGCAAAGCAAUAUAAUCUGGAUUGCGCAAAGCAAAGUUGUGAACACAGUAAAAUAAAUUUAGGAUUAGAUUUCCUAAAUAAGAAUAAGUUAUCCUUAUGAUUAUGUUUAAUAUCAAACCGCAGUGGAAUGGAUAAGUCCAAAAAAAUAGUAAUCAAUAUUCGUCAUCAUGUUAAAGCAACUAUGAAGACUGUUUACUAUCACGUACGUAACAAAGGAAUCAAAUAAGAAAGAAAACCCAAGUCAGAAAUUAGAAAACCUGGUUAGGGAUCACGUCAUAAUCAAGAAUCCAAGAUGACAUUUAAUGCAAAC